rnacentral:rRNA from 1 species
AGUGAACGCUGGCGGUAGGCCUAACACAUGCAAGUCGAACGGCAGCACAGUAAUAUCUUGCUCUUACUGUUGGCGAGUGGCGUACGUUUUAGGUAUACAUCGUAAUCUACUUUUUCUUUUGUUUUAACGUAGGUAAACUUACUCUCAUACCUCAUACCACCUACUUUUGAAAUCAUUGUAUCUUCUCACCUUUCGCGUUUUUAUUAGCCGAUGUCGGAUUAGCUAGUUGGCGUGGUAAAGGCCCACCAAGGCGACGAUCCGUAGCUGGUCUGAGAGGAUGAUCAGCCACACUGGAAGUGAGACACGGUCCAGACGCCUACGGGAGGCAGCAGUGGGGAAUAUUGGAAAAUGGGGGAAAGACUGAUAGAGAAAUACCGAGUGGGUGAAGAAGGCGUUCGGGUUGUAAAGAAGUGUUGUUGGGAAAGAAAAGAAGCAGGUUAAGACAAAGAUGUAAUGACGGUAACAAAAGAAUAAGCACCGGCUAACUUCGUG